CCUACGGGUGGCAGCAGUGGGGAAUAUUGCACAAUGGGGGAAACCCUGAUGCAGCGACGCCGCGUGAAGGAAGAAGUCUUUCGGUAUGUAAACUUCUAUCAGCAGGGAAGAAAAUGACGGUACCUGACUAAGAAGCCCCGGCUAACUACGUGCCAGCAGCCGCGGGAAUACGUAGGGGGCAAGCGUUAUCCGGAUUUACUGGGUGUAAAGGGGGCGUAGACGGCGAUGCAAGUCUGAAGUGAAAGGCGGGGGCCCAACCCCUGGACUGCUUUGGAAACUGUAUGGCUGGAGUGCAGGAGAGGUAAGUGGAAUGCCUAGUGUAGCGGUGAAAUGCGUAGAUAUUAGGAGGAACACCAGUGGCGAAGGCGGCUUACUGGACUGUAACUGACGUUGAGGCUCGAAAGCGUGGGGAGCAAACAGGAUUAGAUACCCGUGUAGUC
rnacentral:rRNA from 1 species